rnacentral:rRNA from 1 species
AUUGAACGCUGGCGGAAUGCUUUACACAUGCAAGUCGAACGGCAGCACGGACUUCGGUCUGGUGGCGAGUGGCGAACGGGUGAGUAAUGUAUCGGAACGUGCCCAGUCGUGGGGGAUAACGUAGUGAAAAUUACGCUAAUACCGCAUACGAUCUAUGGAUGAAAGCGGGGGAUCGCAAGACCUCGCGCAAUUGGAGCGGCCGAUAUCAGAUUAGGUAGUUGGUGGGGUAAAGGCCCACCAAGCCAACGAUCUGUAGCUGGUCUGAGAGGACGACCAGCCACACUGGAACUGAGACACGGUCCAGACUCCUGCGGGAGGCAGCAGUGGGGAAUUUUGGACAAUGGGCGAAAGCCUGAUCCAGCCAUUCCGCGUGCAGGAUGAAGGCCCUCGGGUUGUAAACUGCUUUUGUACAGAACGAAAAGGUUUCUACUAAUACUAGGAGCUCAUGACGGUACUGUAAGAAUAAGCACCGGCUAACUACGUGCCAGCCGCCGCGGUAA